rnacentral:rRNA from 1 species
AACGUAGGACACAAGCGUUAUCCGGAUUUACUGGGCGUAAAGGGCGCGUAGGCGGUCGUGACAAGUCACUUGUGAAAUCUCCGGGCUUAACUCGGAACGGUCAAGUGAUACUGUCGGACUAGAGUACAGAAGGGGCAACUGGAAUUCUCGGUGUAGCGGUGAAAUGCGUAGAUAGUCCGAGAGGGAACACCUGCGGCGAAGGCGGGUUGCUGGGCUGA